rnacentral:lncRNA from 1 species
AAUGGCCCUUCGUAUGUGGGAGUCCAUUUGCCUCUAGGAUCACCUUGUGGUAGAAUGAUACGCUUUAUCACCAAGUCGCCAAUUUGAUACACCUGUCUCUUGACUUUUUUGUUAAAUGCCUGGGUCAUGCGUUUCUGAUAUAUCUGCCCAUGACAAACAGCCGCAAGUCUCUUCUCAUCAAUCAAAUUUAUCUGAUCGAGUCGAGUCUGAAUCCAUUCAUCUUCAUCUAAGCCCGCCUCUUUCAUGAUUCUUAGAGAGGGAAUCUGAAUUUCCACUGGUAAAACGGCUUCCAUUCCGUAGACUAAAGAGAACGGAGUUGCCCCUGUCGAAGUGCG